rnacentral:rRNA from 1 species
UCGGGAAUUUUGGGCAAUGGGCGAAAGCCUGACCCAGCAACGCCGCGUGAAGGAUGAAGGUCUUCGGAUUGUAAACUCCUGUCGACCGGGACGAAUGCACUCGACCUAAUACGUCGGAAUGUUGACGGUACCGGUGGAGGAAGCCACGGCUAACUCUGUGCCAGCAGCCGCGGUAAUACGUAGGGUGCAAGCGUUAAUCGGAAUUACUGGGCGUAAAGCGUGCGCAGGCGGUUGUGUAAGUCAGAUGUGAAAUCCCCGGGCUCAACCUGGGAAUUGCAUUUGAGACUGCACGGCUAGAGUGUGUCAGAGGGGGGUAGAAUUCCACGUGUAGCAGUGAAAUGCGUAGAGAUGUGGAGGAACACCGAUGGCGAAGGCAGCCCCCUGGGUUAACACUGACGCUCAUGCACGAAAGCGUAGGGAGCAAACAGGAUUAGAUACCCCCGUAGUCCCUGAGCGGGCUGGCAAGGCGCAU